CGGCGGCGGCGGGGUGAUGCUGGGCGCGCGCCGCUGCUGCCGCCGGCCGGGCGCCUGCUUUACCUGACUGGCGGCCCCGCGCGCAGCCCGCACCCGCCGCCUUAAUAAUGCACUAGAAUGUCAGCGCUGAAAAAGGUUCUGCCUGGCAUACUGCAGAAGCAUUGCUGUAUUUUACCUGACAGGAACACAGAGUCACAGUGUACACUCUGUGGGGAGCCUGAAGAUUUGGAUUCUCUAACAGGGCAUGCAUUUCCAG